AUCUGCUUUCUGUCUUUAUGGAUUUGCCUAUUUUGAGCAUUUUAUAUAAAUGGAAUCAUACGAUAUGUGGCAUAUAGAUUAGGAAUGUCUUAAAAGACAAAUCAAUCAGUUGCCAUAUGUGGCUCUUAGUUAGUCCAAACUCAAACAAACUGUAAAAAAAUUAAUGAGUCAGUUGAGGAUAUUUGAGCACUAACUACAGACUUGAUGUGAAAGAACUGUUACUUUUUUCAAAGUAUAAUAAAUUAUAUUAUGGGUAUUCUUUUUAAAAGAAUUUAUCUUUAAAGAUACAUACUGAAUUAUUUCCUUAUGAAAUGAAUGACAUGUUGUCUGGGAUUUCCUCCAAAAUAAUUCAGAGGGGUUAUGGGGCAGUGUGUGGGGAUACAAAUAAAACAAAGUUGGCUAUGUGAAAAUGAUGGCUUGAAGCUGGGUCUUGGGUACAUGGGGUUUAUUAUACUUUUCUCUCUUAUUUUCAUAUAUUUGAAAUUUUCCAUAAUGAAAAAUUUUUAUUAAAUUUGAAGAAGUAGCUGGCCUCUUUAGAUGAACUUCUAAUUAUUAUGUUCUUAAUGAUAUCACUUCUAAUUAUGAAGUUUCUGGCAGGUUUGUUUGUAGCAUGGAUUCUCUUUAAUGAAAGUGUUCUCAGUCUAAUUUCUGCAUUCUCAAUAACUGGUGUCUUGCAAUGAUACAGGUAUUUGUAAAAGACAAAAUUUCUUAUUUUUUGGCAUGAAGUAAUACAUUUAAUUUUGAGACUGCCUUAUUGGUAUCUUAUUUAAAUGAGAGCCAUUUUCCCCAUGCUUUCUGAUGUGUGGAAGACUCGACUUGACAAGCUUACAGGUCAUAUGGACAAAGUUUGAAAAGUAUAGCAUUCAGGAACUGUGUACUUAAAUUCUCUUAAGAUCCCUUUCAUUCAAAGAGAAUUAAAGACCAGUUUUGGCAUUUGUGAUUUUAAAAGAUCAAAUUUUUCUUCUGUAAUUUUCAAGAAAGAUUUUCUUAUAGAUACUGUUCAUUACUUAAUGAACUUUAUGUAGAUAAACAAUAGUUGGUAUGUGCAUGUUUUCAGGGUGGAUUUUUAUUGAAUUAAUGCUUUUGAAAUAUUUUAAGUAUAAUGCAGUCAAAUGGCUUAUCAGACAGACAUUCCAAUACAUUUAGUUGUUUUAAAAUGUUGUAUUCCUGAGUGACUUAUAAGAAUUUAAAAAUUUUGAUUAUGUAUUAAAUAGGUAAAUGUUUAUAAAAAUGUUAUUACUAACUUGUCAUUUGCUUGUUUUGCUAGUUUGACAGCUUAAAUUGAUGGAUGUAUCAUUGAUACAGCUUUGAAAUUGAGUACCUAAAAUCUAUAGAUAUAAACAACAUAAUAUUUCAGUAUCUUUAGUAGGCUGUUUGCUUUCUUAGGUUAUUCUAGGGUUGAAGAGUUCAAAUUAUCUACUAAAAUAUGAGAAACUAGGUUUAAGUUAAAUAUUUUUAUCUUGUGCUCUCUUAUACAUAUCAUUUUUUUUCUUCUCUACACAAUAAUAUGUUGGAUUCCUUUUAAAUAUUUUAAUUUUGGUAAUGUUGUUAUAUCAUUUCUAUUUGUCAUUUUAACCUGUGUUACAUUAAGUGACCUCCAUGUUUCCUAGAAGACUAUAUUACCUUUCUAUUUACUCAGGUUCUUUUCUUGAUAUUGAUUGGUUUGAUUUGUUCUCAAUUUCACCAGUUUUGUUAGAAGUGAUAGAAAGUGACUUUUUUUCCUUUCUCAAUGCCUCUUCCAAAGUAGAUAGGCCAUAGUUAUUUCUCUAGGGAAUUUUGACAAGGCAAGGUUUAGAAAUAAGGAUGGUGUGUCCUCUACUUUUAUUUUGGUCUUUUAGACUAAGAUCAUCUGGCUGUCAGUUCUGGUCUCCUAGGAAAGCUUUUCCUCUCUCAGUACUUUGAAAGUCAUAGAAGUAAGUUUUCACUGAUGUUCAGUUCAUUAUCCCUUUGAAAUAUCUUUCUUAUUGACUUAUAGUGGAUGAUUACUGAUUUAGGUACAGUAAUUUGUGAUGUCUUUGUAGGAAAUGCCAGAAAUAUUCCAGAUUCUGCCCAAUGGUUCUUAAAAUGCUUGUAUCAACAGACAUUUGUAUUGCUAUGUGUGAUGGUUAAUACUGAGUGUCAACUUGAUCAUGUUGAAGGAUGCAAACUAUUGAUCCUGGGAGUGUCUGUGAAGGUGUUACCAAAGGAGAUUAACAUUUGAGUCAGUGGGCUGGGAAAGGCAGACCCACCCUUAAUCUGGAUGGGCACCAUCUAGUCAGCUGCCAGCUCAGCCAGGAUAUAAAGCAGGCAGAAAAAAAGGUGAAAAGGCUAGACUGACAUAGCCUCCCAGCUUACAUCCUUCUCCCAUGUUGGAUGCUUCCUGUUCCCAAGCAUUGAACUCCAUAUUCUUCAGCUUUGGGACUGGCACUGGCUUCCUUGCACCUCAGCUUGCAGGCAGCCUAUUGUGGGACCUUGUGAUUGUGUGAGUUAACACUCCUUAAUAAAAUCCCAUAUAUCUUAUUAGUUUUGUUUCUCUAGAGAGCUCCGUCUAAUAUAAUAUGUGAGUCAUGGGCAGAGUUGCAAGUAACACCUCUGGCUUUGUCAAUAUAUGUCCUAAAUUCUACAUAAUAAGUUUGGUGAUUGUUUUAGGAUAUAUAGUAUAGAUUCAGUAUGCAAGCCAUUUCUUCCUCUUUCUAUUUUGUUCUCUUUUCUUUAUUUCUUCCUAAAUGGAAAACAAACAAACAAAAACAAAACAAAACAAAACAAAAUGAAAAUUUCACCUGAAGUUUUGAGGGAAAGUUACUUGUAAUACUUACUGUCCUAAACAAUUUCAUUUUUUGUUACUUUCUUUGUUCAUAUAUAUGAAUGCUUCCUGUGAUUAAAGUAAUAUUUUAUAUGUUUUUACAGAAAAAUAAUUUACAGAGAAAGUUUAUAAAUUACAACAUUAGAAAUAAAUUCUGAGACUCAUGGAAAACAUCCUGUGGGAAUAGAAAGAGCAGGAUGAACAUUAGGAAUUUGAGCUAUAUUAGACCCAAAUAAUUUGAAGAAUCUUAUUUACUCAAAAAUAAGAUUCUUCAAGUUAUUUUAAAAUACGUGUUUUAAGAUACCUAGAACUUAUCCUGUCACUUGCCUGUGAGGUUUUUAAUCUCUUUGGGUGGAAUUAAAUAAUGCCUAAUAUACUUUUGCCUUGUUCAUAGUGUAUUAAAAAGAAUGAGAUUUAAAUGGUAAAGGUCUUACUUGAGAUUUUUUUCCUAUCAUAUCUUGACUCUGUGAUCAAGGUAACACUCUUUUCCUUUAUGGACUUCAACGGGAAUAAAAAUUGUUAAAUCAUAGAAUAUUUUAAGGAUUAAAUUUAAAAUGCCAAUGUUGGAUUCACAUACCAUGCAAAUGUCUGUAAUUACAUAGAGAUAAGGGUAACUAACAUGAGAACAAAUUGUAUCUUUUUUGUAACUGUGGUUAUCAUUAGUGUAACAAUGUCCUUUUGUAUAAAUUUUGAUAGUUUGAUACAUUGGACAGGUUGUGUACCUGACUCCAAGGUCCUAUGAGGAAACUACGCUCCAGAGUGCUUGUCCAUGAUCACUCGCUGGUGAGUGAUAAGGUGGUGCAAAUGUAUUUUUAUUUCUAUUUUAGUAUCCUUUUUUUGAUAGAUUGUACCAUAGCCAUUUAACAGUAUGUUGAAACUUUUAUGCAGCAUUUAAAAUUUGUUUUGUCUGAACCAGAAAUCACAUCAACAGCAUAACAUUAACUUGUUUCCGAUUAUAAAAAUAACACUUGAAAACUAAAAGUAUAAAGAAGAAAAUGUAAAAGUCAGAUUAUUAUUUCCUUGUAAUGGAAAUAACCAUGAAUGUAUGGCUCCCUAAUCUUUUUUUCUCACCAUAUUGUUAUUAUUUUUGCUUACUCUAACAUAAGUGUUUUUCAAUGUCUGUCUUACUACCCUUCCUAGUCAAGUUUUGAAGUAAACACACACGCACACACACACACAUAAAUUAGCAUCUUAAAAAGAGUAAAAUAAGAUGAAAAUACUCAACUAUAUUUUGCAAGCCAAAGAGUUAACUUCAGAAGAAAUAGACAUUAGCAAAUUCAGCAAUUAAAGUCCUAUUUAUAGUUUGUCUGGAGAGAAUAAUAAUAUAUAUAGUAUCCUCAGCAGUCAGUGUGAUGUGGUGUGAAUAGCACAGGCUUUGCAUUCAGGCUGACCUGACUGAAUCCUAGUCUUACUACUUACCAACUGCCUGAUGUUGGACAAUAACUUAACUUCUCUCACCUUUGGUUUCUUAUCUUUAAAAUGGAGUGAAUGAUGCCUGCCAUUCAGGGCUGCAUUAGGAUCAGAGAAGCAAAUAUAACUAAAGUGCCUUACCCGGUGUCUGGAUAUGUUAGGCAUAGGGUAAAUGAUAGUCAGAAGAAACCUAAGGCCCUAGGCUUACACAACUGAAGUAAUUUUGUGAAAAUUAAAGGCCACCAUGUUAUACCCAUAAUUAACCAAGUAGCUAUGUCUUCAAAAUAUUUAUUUGCAUUAUUUACCAUUUUUUCUUUCUCUUGCAAAUUUAUUACUGCCCAAAGAGGAGUGGAAAAUGAUGAAAAAGUGACUGUCUUGAGAUGCUUUCUACUCUGGCAGGCCGUGGUCCAGGCUACAGUGUUUACCUCAUUUCAGGAAGGUCCAAAGCAUAUGGGCCUGGAGUAGAUCUUAGAGAUUCACUGAUGAGUUCCCACGGAACAUUCACAAUCCAGGGCAAGAGAUUCAAUUCAGAAAAAGCAAAAACCUUUCCACUACACUUUAAAAAAAAAUUCAGAAUGAAGGUAGCUGAAGUGAACCCUAUUGUGGGUGACAGGAGUUGGGGGCAGGGGUAUAAAUUCUGAAAACUUGAGUUAUUUUAUUGAACAUACAAAUGUCAGGGAAAAAAAUUAAAAAGGUAUUUCUUUUAGCCAGUAAGAGGUUAAUACCUGGUUGUAACUGCAGAAAAGCAACAUUGAGGCAACUUUUUAAUAUUUACUUCCAAAUAAGAUGAGAAAAUUAGAGGAAAUCACUUGUUUCUGAUAUGGAAAGAAUUAGAGACAUAGACCUAUCCCAAAUAACAACACUAGUAAGGCAUUUGUAAGUGAUAUAAGUAUGGAAGUGUAUUUAAAUAUACUAGUAUGUGAGUGAUAUAAGUAUGGUAUUAGGCAAGUUCUUAUGAAGGAAACAGGACAGUAUCGCUAAGGAAAUGAUAUGUAAGUGGAUCUUGCAGGAUGAACAGAAAUUCACUAGCAAAGGUAACUGCCUUCUGGGCCCAGUUAACUGUGUAUGUAAGACAACAGCGGAUUAUGGGGAGCAUGAGGGAGGGGUAGAGAGUGAGCUUAGAGCCACUGCUCUAGUAUUAAGUUUGAAUUAUGGAAAAUACAGCAAUAUUUUAAUUUUCAUUGCAGAGAAAUGUUGAGAAUGGUAUAUAAUGAGUAAAAGCAAAAAGAAUAGCAGAGCCAAUCAAUCAAUAUAAGAUAAUUUUUAAAACACAGAAAAGACAAAUGUGCCUUUGCCUAUGAAAGGGUGAAGGACAUGCCAUCCCAAAUUAUGUCAGAUUGGUAUAUUGAUUAUUUCAAGGUGAAAACUUUGGAGAAAUUGGAGUUUCUUGAGGCUGUAUGCACAGAAUGCCUUCCUGAGCCAUACAGAAGAGACACUGGAUGAAAUUGCCAAGAUAAUGGUGUAUGUCCCCAAGGAGGAACAGCUCUUUUCUUCCCAGGGCUGCAAGUCUAUUUCCCAGAGGAUUAACUGCUUCUAUCAUGAAGGCCAGAUGAAGACUUCCUGGAGCUGCCUUUCUUCCCCUAACAGGACCCUGGGACCUGUAGGAGCACCCUGUUUGCAACUGUGAGGUGUUUGAGGGGUGUGGACUGGCAUUCAGCAGUCACUAACACAAAACUGGUGUGUGAAAGACAGACCUUACAUUAGAAACAGUGCCAGUCCUGUUUGUUUGUUUGUUUUUGGAAGCCCCACCAAAAUAGAAACUUGGAUCUCUGGAUUCAAAGAAACAGAGCCAAUUCUUAAGAUCACUUGGUGCUUUAAAGACAUCCAUUCCAAAGUGGAAUGUGGUUGAAGAAAGUGGGCCAGGUGGUUGAAGAAAGCCAUGUAGGAGCUCAAGAAAUCCCAAAAGCUGAUGAUGAUGCUGCAGAUGGGCUCUUUAGCAUCUCAGCUCUUCUGUAAGGAAAAGCUUGGGUGUUACACCUCAGAGGCUAUAGAGUCCUUGGGUUACAGAGCAGAUGAGAAUGAAGUUCUGUGACCCAGCAGUGGAAAGUACAUUCCAGGUUUGCCGGCUGGUGGGCUUUCAAAUGGUACUGCCAGAGGAAAGCUGAGCUGUUUCUGUUGUGAAUGGAUCAGCAAAGAGCCUCAGCCUGAAGGAAAAAGUGCACAGAGGAAAAUAUUUUACAAAUCAGGUCAAUGUAAGCCAAGACUUAGUAUACAGAUUUUGGAGGGAGAGGGGGAAGCUUGUAAAACAAUUAGGGGUCUUGACAUGUUGCAUGUAAAGAUUAAAAUGUUCUAUUCUU